rnacentral:rRNA from 1 species
AUUGAACGCUGGCGGCAUGCUUUACACAUGCAAGUCGAACGGUAACGCGGGGGCAACCCUGGCGACGAGUGGCGAACGGGUGAGUAAUACAUCGGAACAUGUCCUGGAGUGGGGGAUAGCUCGGCGAAAGCCGGAUUAAUACCGCAUACGCUCUGAGGAGGAAAGCGGGGGACCUGGUAACGGCCUCGCGCUGCGGGAGUGGCCGAUGUCGGAUUAGCUAGUUGGUGAGGAAAGGCUCACCAAGGCGACGAUCCGUAGCUGGUCUGAGAGGAUGAUCAGCCACACUGGGACUGAGACACGGCCCAGACUCCUACGGAGGCAGCAGUGGGGAAUUUUGGGCAAUGGGCGAAAGCCUGACCCAGCAACGCCGCGUGAAGGAUGAAAUUUUUCGGAAUGUAAACUUCGCAAGAACGGAAGAAUAAGUGGGGACAAUACCCCCCAUCGAUGACGGUACCGUUUGUAAGCUCCGGCUAACUCCGUGCCAGCCGCCGCGGUAAG